UACGUAGGGAGCAAGCGUUGUCCGGAAUCAUUGGGCGUAAAGCGCGCGUAGGUGGCUUCAUAAGUCCGUUGUGAAAGUCAAAGGCUCAACCUUUGAAAGCCGAUGGAUACUGUGAAGCUAGAGUACGGAAGAGGCGAGUGGAAUUCCUGGCGUAGCGGUGGAAUGCGCAGAUAUCAGGAGGAACACCAAUAGCGAAGGCAGCUCGCUGGGACGUUACUGACACUGAGGCGCGAAAGCGUGGGGGAGCGAACAGG
rnacentral:rRNA from 1 species